rnacentral:lncRNA from 1 species
CAGUAUUAUGACAAUCAGUUCUUGUUCAUUUGAUUGUGCAAAUAGCUUCAUACUGUCAUGGUUUCUUGGUGUUGUGUUAUCAAAGAUGUAGCAACAAACUUCCAGUAGUUUAUGCAGUACAGGAUAGGAGAUGCCAUCCUAUAAUGAUUUUUUGGCCGAGGAAUUCUGGUUACUGCACUUCAUAGAGUAAAUUGGCAGUAAUUCAUUAGGGCUCUAAUAACAAUCAAGAUAAUAGGUCCGGGUAAGUGUACAUCAGCUACCAUAGCUAGAGGUAAAUCAUCUCUUGUUACUAUCUCGUACCCAACUUAAGCAUAUUGGUUUUCCAAGUGAGUGUGAGACUGUAGGCAUUGG